rnacentral:rRNA from 1 species
GAUGAACGCUGGCGGCGUGCCUAAUACAUGCAAGUCGAGCGAACAGACGAGGAGCUUGCUCCUCUGACGUUAGCGGCGGACGGGUGAGUAACACGUGGAUAACCUACCUAUAAGACUGGGAUAACUUCGGGAAACCGGAGCUAAUACCGGAUAAUAUAUUGAACCGCAUGGUUCAAUAGUGAAAGACGGUUUUGCUGUCACUUAUAGAUGGAUCCGCGCCGCAUUAGCUAGUUGGUAAGUGAACGGCUUACCAAGGCGACGACGCGUAGCCGACCUGAGAGGGUGAUCGGCCACACUGGAACUGAAACACGAUCCAGACUCCUACGGGAGGCAGCAGUAGGGAAUCUUCCGCAAUGGGCGAAAGCCUGACGGAGCAACGCCGCGUGAGUGAUAAAGGUCUUCGGAUCGUAAAACUCUGUUAUUAGGGAAGAACAAAUGUGUAAGUAACUAUGCACGUCUUGACGGUACCUAAUCAGAAAGCCACGGCUAACUACGUG